UAUAUUUACUCCUCUAUAAGUUCAUAGAUAGAUGUAGGGGUUAAGAAGCAGGGAUUGAGAAAUUGAAACAUCUUUUCAUCCUGAGUUGUACCAGCAGUGUUCAUACCUUCUGUAUUUCUCAGGGUCAUUGUGCUGCUACAAAGCAGAGUCUCCCAGAUUCACACCACCCAGCUGAGAGCACAAACACAGAAAGGUCAGGUAGUGUAUGUUAUUGUGAAGCUCUUCAUGCCUGAUAUAUCUGAGCUGGAUUUGUGCUGUUCGGGUAUCUUUACAGGUUAAAGUUUGCUGAUGGGGGGUGAAAGAGGGACAAAGAAAGAGAAGCAGAAAGACAGCGAAAGAGGGAGAGUUAUAACAGAGAGUUCUAUCCGUCACAGAGGCUGUGUUGUCAGCGUGUGUGUUGUGAGAUGACAAGGCAUCUGACACACUAGGUUGAAUAGACUUGGGGAGCUAGGCCAACAGACCUCCGCCAUGCUGCAUGGGACCCGGCCGGACAGCCUGAUUAACAGCCUGCUUCUAUGGAUGAUUUAUCCUCCACAUCUGUACUCAGGCUGCAGCACAUACACAGUUGGACUCCCUCAUGUAAUUAAAACUCCCAAAAAUGCUUUGUAUUGUGGGCCUGUAUGUGUGUCUGCAUGUGUCAGAGAAAGAGAAUAUACAGUGAGAGACGGAGGGAGGAAGACAUGAAGAAGUAAACUACGUUUUGUAUAAGUGAUAAUGGCAUAUGGACUCGGCCUUGACUGAGUGUGUACGAUCCAAGCAUGUUCCAGUCCAAGUGUCAGUGAGCCCAGGCAGAUCUCUGUUGGGUAAGAUCAUUUGUGAUGUACACAAGUGAAAUGGUUGGAAGGAGGUUGAAUGAGGGGACAAACAGCUGCAUUCCAGUCUGUCUGUGCUGGGCUCAGCCAACUGGUUCUUCUCAUGAGAGUCUACAUAGAUGAGUGUGUCACCAGAGGCUGUCUGAGGCUCUGGGACUCACACAUCAGAAGACAACAGGAAGACGGGGUGUCAGACUUGAAAUCCUCUGCAUCCAUCCAUUUUAUAGCCUGAAGAAGCAACAACCAAAGCCAGACUGAAGUCAAGUGUUGCCAGCUUCUAUUCAAAGGUAUCUCUGUAUGGAAAACGAUAUUUCCCAUUCGUAGUAGAUGGAUAGUUUGGUUUAAUGUUGAUUUCUUUACUGACUUGAUUGAGCUUUCUGGUGAGUCAGAUAGAUAGAGAAGAGUUAAACACUGCAGGGGUAGAGGAAGAGAACUGAGGAAGAGAACUGGGUGUGAUUGGCUGCAGAACCGAUGUUGACAGAUGUAGCAAUGACUAGUUGCAACAAGUUGGUGGAGAUUCACACUAAUACACAUGAUGUUUAACUCAUAUGUCUCUCUCUCUUUUUUCACCCUGGUGGGUGCGAAUGGAAUGAUUUGGAUGUCAAGGUUAUUAAAUGCACUUCUUCUAAGAUGUGCCAAAGGAUUACACUCAUACACACACAUAAACAUAGCACUUGUUGCAUCCUGACUACUUUGUGGUGUACUAUGAGCAGCUUCAGACAUGUAUUGGGUGUGUCGCUUGUGUUUCUGGUACACUAUCACCACGUACCCCUGAAAGCCUUCUAUCCAAAGUUGCCUUUGUUUUUUUAAGCUUCUCCCAAAUAGAUUCCUGCUGUCAGGGACAGAGCUGAUAUUUUUCUCAGUGUUUUCUUUGGCAAUGCAUGGGGUGUUUCGGAUUCUCCAGCGAUCUUAUUAUAAACAGACACGCAUUAGCAAUGCUUUGCGAUCAGCCCAGUCUCCCUGGUGCUGAUACCCUCUGGGGCUUAGUCUGUUGGCCACGGAUACCCUCAGAUAAGUUUGCAAUUAAACAGUUGUCAUUGGUGGGCAUUGUCAGAGAGGAUGAUGUGUGCCGAUGUGUUUGGAGCUGUAAAAAAUCACUGAGCCAUCUCUUGUCUGCGGAAUUCAUAGGCCUCAAUCAACCAUGGAUUAACCUCUGCAGAAAACAAUAGAUCCAACACAGUAAUAGAGGCGGGACGAGGUGGCUGGAAUCCCUUUAGGACUUCUGUUGCCUCAUCUCCCUGUCACCCACUCAAAGAGGCGACUCUGGCGAACAAAACCCCCCGUCUCGGGCCUGUGGACAGGCAGCCUUGAGACUAUUAUGCUCAAUCAAAUGAGCUCCAUGGCUUUCAGCACCCAAAGAAAGUGGCUUAGAGCCUGUUUUCUGACACAGGGAGUGAGGAGGUGCUUUGUUUCUGUCUGUUGCGCGGCAUUUAAAGGAUUAAACAGGGUUUGGUGGGGCUAGAGUUUCUUUGAGGUCUGUGAUUUCUCUAAAGCUCACUCUGGGCUGCAGUGCAGUUCCAGGCAGCAAAUAGAAAGACAAGAACAGGCCGCCUUGUCCUUCCCAAGUGGAGAGGAAAGAAACCCAAUAAAAGAAAGCCGCCUGCCC